rnacentral:rRNA from 1 species
GGGCGUUGAAAAGAACUUUGAAGAGAGAGUUCAAGAGUACGUGAAACCGUUCAGGGGUAAACGGAAAAGAUCCGGAAUGUCGAAAGGAGAGAUUCACGUCUUUACCGGACGUCGGCCAGCUGACCGCCGGAUGGUAUCCGCUUGAAGCCCGGCCUCGGCCGCGGUCGAAGGCGGAUCCACCAGCGCGGACGGCGCGGUCCGGCGCCGGAGGACCGCACUUCUCUUCCUGUAGGACGUCGCGACCCGUUGGCUAGCGGUCUACGGGCCGGGGUGGCAGCCUCAAAUCGGCCCCUCGUCCAGGCGGGGUGCGCCGGCUUGAGACCCCCGGCGCCCGGCCGACCAGCUGACGGUAUGAAAAGAUGGUGCGCGGACCGAGCUCUGCUCGGCCCGGUCGCAAGCGUUGCGUUACUGCGGGUGGUUCGGGCCCAGUGUCCGGCCCUCGCAUGCGCAGUGCUGUUGGCGGCCCGGGCUCUUUCGGCCCGCGCGUGAACCUGUCGGCGACGCUUCAGCUUCGGAUUCUUAUCCGACCCGUCUUGAAACACGGACC